rnacentral:rRNA from 1 species
UAAGGGCGCACGGUGGAUGCCUUGGCACUAGAAGCCGAUGAAGGACGUUACUAACGACGAUAUGCUUUGGGGAGCUGUAAGUAAGCUUUGAUCCAGAGAUUUCCGAAUGGGGAAACCCAGCAUGAGUUAUGUCAUGUUAUCGAUAUGUGAAUACAUAGCAUAUCAGAAGGCACACCCGGAGAACUGAAACAUCUUAGUACCCGGAGGAAGAGAAAGAAAAUUCGAUUCCCUUAGUAGCGGCGAGCGAAACGGGAAGAGCCCAAACCAACAAGCUUGCUUGUUGGGGUUGUAGGACACUCUAUACGGAGUUACAAAGGACGACAUUAGACGAAUCAUCUGGAAAGAUGAAUCAAAGAAGGUAAUAAUCCUGUAGUCGAAAAUGUUGUCUCUCUUGAGUGGAUCCUGAGUACGACGGAGCACGUGAAAUUCCGUCGGAAUCUGGGAGGACCAUCUCCUAAGGCUAAAUACUCUCUAGUGACCGAUAGUGAACCAGUACCGUGAGGGAAAGGUGAAAAGCACCCCGGAAGGGGAGUGAAAUAGAACCUGAAACCGUGUGCUUACAAGUAGUCAGAGCCCGUUAAUGGGUGAUGGCGUGCCUUUUGUAGAAUGAACCGGCGAGUUACGAUUUGAUGCAAGGUUAAGCAGUAAAUGUGGAGCCGUAGCGAAAGCGAGUCUGAAUAGGGCGUUUAGUAUUUGGUCGUAGACCCGAAACCAGGUGAUCUACCCUUGGUCAGGUUGAAGUUCAGGUAACACUGAAUGGAGGACCGAACCGACUUACGUUGAAAAGUGAGCGGAUGAACUGAGGGUAGCGGAGAAAUUCCAAUCGAACCUGGAGAUAGCUGGUUCUCUCCGAAAUAGCUUUAGGGCUAGCCUCAAGUGAUGAUUAUUGGAGGUAGAGCACUGUUUGGACGAGGGGCCCCUCUCGGGUUACCGAAUUCAGACAAACUCCGAAUGCCAAUUAAUUUAACUUGGGAGUCAGAACAUGGGUGAUAAGGUCCGUGUUCGAAAGGGAAACAGCCCAGACCACCAGCUAAGGUCCCAAAAUAUAUGUUAAGUGGAAAAGGAUGUGGCGUUGCCCAGACAACUAGGAUGUUGGCUUAGAAGCAGCCAUCAUUUAAAGAGUGCGUAAUAGCUCACUAGUCGAGUGACACUGCGCCGAAAAUGUACCGGGGCUAAACAUAUUACCGAAGCUGUGGAUUGUCCUUUGGACAAUGGUAGGAGAGCGUUCUAAGGGCGUUGAAGCAUGAUCGUAAGGACAUGUGGAGCGCUUAGAAGUGAGAAUGCCGGUGUGAGUAGCGAAAGAUGGGUGAGAAUCCCGUCCACCGAUUGACUAAGGUUUCCAGAGGAAGGCUCGUCCGCUCUGGGUUAGUCGGGUCCUAAGCUGAGGCCGACAGGCGUAGGCGAUGGAUAACAGGUUGAUAUUCCUGUACCACCUAUAAUCGUUUUAAUCGAUGGGGGGACGCAGUAGGAUAGGCGAAGCGUGCGAUUGGAUUGCACGUCUAAGCAGUAAGGCUGAGUAUUAGGCAAAUCCGGUACUCGUUAAGGCUGAGCUGUGAUGGGGAGAAGACAUUGAGUCUUCGAGUCGUUGAUUUCACACUGCCGAGAAAAGCCUCUAGAUAGAAAAUAGGUGCCCGUACCGCAAACCGACACAGGUAGUCAAGAUGAGAAUUCUAAGGUGAGCGAGCGAACUCUCGUUAAGGAACUCGGCAAAAUGACCCCGUAACUUCGGGAGAAGGGGUGCUCUUUAGGGUUAACGCCCAGAAGAGCCGCAGUGAAUAGGCCCAAGCGACUGUUUAUCAAAAACACAGGUCUCUGCUAAACCGUAAGGUGAUGUAUAGGGGCUGACGCCUGCCCGGUGCUGGAAGGUUAAGAGGAGUGGUUAGCUUCUGCGAAGCUACGAAUCGAAGCCCCAGUAAACGGCGGCCGUAACUAUAACGGUCCUAAGGUAGCGAAAUUCCUUGUCGGGUAAGUUCCGACCCGCACGAAAGGCGUAACGAUUUGGGCACUGUCUCAACGAGAGACUCGGUGAAAUCAUAGUACCUGUGAAGAUGCAGGUUACCCGCGACAGGACGGAAAGACCCCGUGGAGCUUUACUGUAGCCUGAUAUUGAAAUUCGGCACAGCUUGUACAGGAUAGGUAGGAGCCUUUGAAACGUGAGCGCUAGCUUACGUGGAGGCGCUGGUGGGAUACUACCCUAGCUGUGUUGGCUUUCUAACCCGCACCACUUAUCGUGGUGGGAGACAGUGUCAGGCGGGCAGUUUGACUGGGGCGGUCGCCUCCUAAAAGGUAACGGAGGCGCUCAAAGGUUCCCUCAGAAUGGUUGGAAAUCAUUCAUAGAGUGUAAAGGCAUAAGGGAGCUUGACUGCGAGACCUACAAGUCGAGCAGGGUCGAAAGACGGACUUAGUGAUCCGGUGGUUCCGCAUGGAAGGGCCAUCGCUCAACGGAUAAAAGCUACCCCGGGGAUAACAGGCUUAUCUCCCCCAAGAGUUCACAUCGACGGGGAGGUUUGGCACCUCGAUGUCGGCUCAUCGCAUCCUGGGGCUGUAGUCGGUCCCAAGGGUUGGGCUGUUCGCCCAUUAAAGCGGUACGCGAGCUGGGUUCAGAACGUCGUGAGACAGUUCGGUCCCUAUCCGUCGUGGGCGUAGGAAAUUUGAGAGGAGCUGUCCUUAGUACGAGAGGACCGGGAUGGACAUACCUCUGGUGUACCAGUUGUCGUGCCAACGGCAUAGCUGGGUAGCUAUGUGUGGACGGGAUAAGUGCUGAAAGCAUCUAAGCAUGAAGCCCCCCUCAAGAUGAGAUUUCCCAACUUCGGUUAUAAGAUCCCUCAAAGAUGAUGAGGUUAAUAGGUUCGAGGUGGAAGCAUGGUGACAUGUGGAGCUGACGAAUACUAAUCGAUCGAAGACUUAAUCAA